rfam:Enterococcus sp. 6C8_DIV0013 scaffold00002, whole genome shotgun sequence.
GUUUUCGGAUAAUCGCAGUUAACUUUUAUAGUUAGUUGAGGAAAGUCCAUGCUCGCACAAACUGAGAUGUUUGUAGUGUUCGUGCUUAAUGAAACAAUAAGUUAAGGUAUUCUUCUUAGGAAGAGUAACGGCAGAAAAAACAGCUAAGGUGUAAACUAUGCUGGAGUAUUCUUGAAAGUGCCACAGUGACGAAGUAAUUUUAGAAAUAAAAUUAGUGGAACGGGUAAACCCCUCGAGCGAGCAACCCAAACUUAUGGUAGGGGCACCUUUUUCAGGGAAUUGAACUUAGAAAAGGGACAGAGUAUUCUGUAGACAGAUGAUUAUCGUUAGUAGUUGUCCUGACAAUUACUAAUACAGAACAUGGCUUAUAGAA